rnacentral:SRP_RNA from 1 species
GCCACAUGACAAUGGCGGGCAUAUGAACCGUGUCAGGUCCGGAAGGAAGCAGCACUAAGUAUCGCUCCUCCAUGUGUUAUGUGAAUACA